UGGUCGUAAUAGAUUCGGAGGUCAUAGCGUCCAAGCCAGAUGCGAGCGUGCUGCAUACAGGUCCCAAUGGCGUGGUGGUGCGGCAGCACAGACAGGGGUGGCCUCUCUGCAACAAGCGAUCUCAGAAGUUUGCUGUUCUCGAUACCUUGGAGCAGCAGGACAAGUUCCUUGACCAGCAGGGGCAUAGAGGGCAUUUCAUCGGGAAACCUACGCUGCAGAGGUGGCUUGAGCGGAUGUCGAGCAAGCUGCGCAUAAGCCCGUCGAACUCCGUCG
rnacentral:lncRNA from 1 species